rnacentral:rRNA from 1 species
AACGAACGCUGGCGGCGUGCUUAACACAUGCAAGUCGAACGUGAUCCAGAGCUUGCUCUGGUGAAAGUGGCGCACGGGUGAGUAGCGCGUGGAUAACCUGCCCUGGUAUCUGGGAUAACAUCUCGAAAGGGGUGCUAAUACCGGAUAAGCCCACGGAAUCUUCGGGUUCUGAGGGAAAAGGUGACCUCUGUCUCAAGCUACCGUAUCAGGAUGGGUCCGCGUACCAUUAGCUAGUUGGUAGGGUAAUGGCCUACCAAGGCGACGAUGGUUAGCUUGUCUGAAGGGAGGGUCAGCCACACUGGAACUGGGACACGGUCCAGACUCCUACGGUGUGCAGCAGUGGGGAAUUUUGCGCAAUGGGGGAAACCCUGACGCAGCAACGCCGCGUGAGUGAUGAAGGCCUUCGGGUCGUAAAGCUCUGUCAGAGGGGAAGAAGUGAUGUGUGGUUAAUACCCACACUUCUUGACGGUACCCUCAAAGGAAGCACCGGCUAACUCCGUGCCAGCCGCCGCCGUAA